CAAUUCCUCCCAGUGAUACCAACAACAAUCAAAGCUUAACUACAACAAAACUGUGCACAUAGCCCAUAAAGGGGUGCACCAAGAGUGUCCACCUUAGAAUUGGCAAUGCUGAGCCAUUGGGCCCCAUAGAACACCUACUACACAAACCAUUAUAUCAACUCA